GCGGUUAUACUUGUUGUCCAAUUCAAAAAUUUUAAAGAAAAUAAACUAAGUUAUUUUGUCCAAUAACAAAGUUAAUAAAUUUAAUUUUAGAAAUUAUUGGUUAAAUUGGAUUAGUACCCAAGUAAAUGAAUUAAUUAAUUAAGGUAACACCUAAACUAAAUGGCCGUAUUAUUUUCAAAGCAGAGAAACUUGAAAUUUAGAAAAUCCACUCUAUUAUUAAUCUUAUAAAGGUUUAAGUAUGGCUGUCUAAAAAUAAAUUAUUAUUUAGAUUCAUAGUCAAGCAACAUUUAACUUAUGAGAAGAUUUUGAGUUGCAAUAAUCAAAUUAUUACAAGUUAUAAAAAUUAGGAUUUGCAAGUAAAAUAAUUUUUGAAAUAAGUUUAAGUACA
rnacentral:rRNA from 1 species